rnacentral:rRNA from 1 species
CGUAGGGUGCGAGCGUUGUCCGGAAUUAUUGGGCGUAAAGAGCUUGUAGGCGGUUUGUCGCGUCUGCUGUGAAAGACCGGGGCUUAACUCCGGUUCUGCAGUGGGGUACGGGCAGACUAGAGUAUGGUAGGGGAGACUGGAAUUCCUGGUGUAGCGGUGAAAUGCGCAGAUAUCAGGAGGAACACCGAUGGCGAAGGCAGGUCUCUGGGCCAUUACUGACGCUGAGAAGCGAAAGCAUGGGGAGCGAACAGGAUU